rnacentral:tRNA from 1 species
UGGGCUAUCGCCAAACGGUAAGGCAGUGGACUCUGACUCCACCAUCUCUAGGUUCGAAUCCUAGUAGCCCAA